GACGAACGCUGGCGGCGUGCUUAACACAUGCAAGUCGAACGGAAAGGCCCUGCUUUUGUGGGGUGCUCGAGUGGCGAACGGGUGAGUAACACGUGAGUAACCUGCCCUUGACUUUGGGAUAACUUCAGGAAACUGGGGCUAAUACCGGAUAGGAGCUCCUGCUGCAUGGUGGGGGUUGGAAAGUUUCGGCGGUUGGGGAUGGACUCGCGGCUUAUCAGCUUGUUGGUGGGGUAGUGGCUUACCAAGGCUUUGACGGGUAGCCGGCCUGAGAGGGUGACCGGACACGGGGGGAGGCGGAGGCCGGCCAGAGCGCUGGGGGGGGGAGCAGGGGGAAGUGUCGCACGGCGGGAGGGCGCGCGAGGCGACGGCGCGGGGGGGAGGGUGGCGGCCGGCGGGCCGGAAGCCGUUGUGCCGGGGGACGAGGGGGCAGGGAGGGGAAGGGGUAAAGCAGCACCGGCUAACGACGUGCCGUGAGCCGCGGUAACAGUGGGAAGCCCACACGGUUGAAC
rnacentral:rRNA from 1 species